AUUGAACGCUGGCGGCAGGCCUAACACAUGCAAGUCGAACGAGUGGCGGACGGGUGAGUAAUGUCUGGGAAACUGCCCGAUAGAGGGGGAUAACUACUGGAAACGGUAGCUAAUACCGCAUACCAUCGGAUGUGCCCAGAUGGGAUUAGCUAGUAGGUGGGGUAACGGCUCACCUAGGCGACGAUCCCUAGCUGGUCUGAGAGGAUGACCAGCCACACUGUGACUGAGACACGGCCCAGACGCCUACGGGAGGCAGCAGUGGGGAAUAUUGCACAAUGGGCGAAAGCCUGAUGCAGCCAUGCCGCGUGUAUGAAGAAGGCCUUAGGGUUGUAAAGUACUUUCAGCGAGGAGGCGUUACUCGCAGAAGAAGCACCGGCUAACUCCGUGCCAGCAGCCGCGGUAAUAC
rnacentral:rRNA from 1 species